rnacentral:rRNA from 1 species
UACGUAGGGCGCAAGCGUUAUCCGGAAUUAUUGGGCGUAAAGAGCUCGUAGGCGGUUUGUCGCGUCUGCUGUGAAAGACCGGGGCUCAACUCCGGUUCUGCAGUGGGUACGGGCAGACUAGAGUGCAGUAGGGGAGACUGGAAUUCCUGGUGUAGCGGUGAAAUGCGCAGAUAGCAGGAGGAACACCGAUGGCGAAGGCGGGUCUCUGGGCCGAUACUGACGCUGAGGAGCGAAAGCGUGGGGAGCGAACAGG